CCGUCCUCCACCAACCACACCACCGCACCACCACAUACCUAUCAACUAACAAUCUAACAUAAAGAAGGAAUAUUCUACUAUAUUUAUAUAAUUUUGGAGUAGAAAAAUGGUGAACAUCCACUAAACUUCGUAGAAUCGUAUCUUAUGUAGUCAAAGAUUUGAGAAUUUGAAAACAACAACAACAAUAGAAUAUUAAACGCAAUAGCCAUGACCUUUCUUUGUAGCCGUCCUCCACCAACC
rnacentral:lncRNA from 1 species